CCUACGGGUGGCUGCAGUUUCGAAUCAUUCACAAUGGGCGAAAGCCUGAUGGUGCGACGCCGCGUGAGGGAUGAAGGUCUUCGGAUUGUAAACCUCUGUCACUGGGGAGAAAACGCUUUGAGUUAAUAGUUCAAAGCCUGAUUUAACCCGGAGAGGAAGCAGUGGCUAACUCUGUGCCAGCAGCCGCGGUAAUACAGAGACGGCAAGCGUUGGCCGGAUUCACUGGGCGUAAAGGGUGCGCGUGAGGUGGGAAAUCCCGAGGCUUAACCGCGGAACUGCGUCUGAAACUACUCGACUAGAGUACUGGAGAGGGAAACGGAAUUCACGGUGUAGCAGUGAAAUGCGUAGAUAUCGUGAGGAACACCAGAGGCGAAGGCGGUUUCCUGGACAGUUACUGACGCUCAGGCACGAAAGCAUGGGGAGCAAAAGGGAUUAGAUACCCGUGUAGUC
rnacentral:rRNA from 1 species